rnacentral:rRNA from 1 species
AAUAGAUACCCGGGUAGUCCACGCCGUAAACGAUGAGUGCUAGGUGUUAGGGGGGUCCAACCCCUUAGUGCUGAAGUUAACACAUUAAGCACUCCGCCUGGGGAGUACGACCGCAAGGUUGAAACUCAAAGGAAUUGACGGGGGCCCGGCACAAGCAGUGGAGCAUGUGGUUUAAUUCGAAGCAACGCGAAGAACCUUACCAGGUCUUGACAUCCUCUGACAACCCUAGAGAUAGGGCGUUCCCCUUCGGGGGACAGAGUGACAGGUGGUGCAUGGUUGUCGUCAGCUCGUGUCGUGAGAUGUUGGGUUAAGUCCCGCAACGAGCGCAACCCUUGAUGUUAGUUGCCAGCAUUCAGUUGGGCACCCUAACGUGACUGCCGGUGACAAACCGGAGGAAGGUGGGGAUGACGUCAAAUCAUCAUGCCCCUUAUGACCUGGGCUACACACGUGCUACAAUGGGCGGUACAAAGGGCAGCGAAACCGCGAGGUGGAGCCAAUCCCAUAAAGCCGCUCUCAGUUCGGAUUGCAGGCUGCAACUCG